GCUUAAUCUACCUUUUAGAUUGGAAUACCCAUUGGAAACAAUGGCUAAUGCCGGAUACGCAUGGAACCGCAUGGUUCCGUUGUGAAAGGCGCUGCAAGGCGCCACUAAAAGAUGAGGGUGCGGAACAUUAGUUAGUUGGUGAGGUAAUGGCCCACCAAGACUAUGAUGUUUAGCCGGGUCGAGAGACUGAACGGCCACAUUGGGACUGAGAUACGGCCCAAACUCCUACGGGAGGCAGCAGGC
rnacentral:rRNA from 1 species